AGACAGCCUCUACUUUGAAAAGAAACCGGCUUUGAUGUAUUGUUUGGCGGCAGCUCCCCAACACUGAGAUCUGACGUGCCCCCAGAUUCCCUGGGCUCAGAAAACAGGACACGCCGAGGACAUAGAAGCCUGAGCACCAGGCGCAGAGCUUCCGCCACCAAGGAUGUUCCAGCAGAGACCACACAGCCGCGUGGCCUGGACUCGAAGCCAUCGAAGUUUUGAAUCUCUAAGUCCUUAUUUCUUGCCAGCCCAACUAUUAAUAAAUCAAAAGCUCCUUGGAGCGUUGGUUUUU
rnacentral:lncRNA from 1 species